GGCAGUGUAGUGUAAUAGUUUGAGCGUUAGACUAUGAUUCUGGAGACCAGGGUUCAAAUCCUCACUCGGCCA